UAUUAAAAAAGACUAUGAUUUCAUCCUUUUUAUAAAAGUCAUUAGCUUGUUGAAUAGCUUGAUUUCAGUGUAAUUACACUGUUGGCAUGGAUGGUAUUUUAAGGUGUUAAGAUAGCUGGCUAACUUAACACCGUUGGAUUUCGUAAAUAUUUUAGACAGAGCCUUUGAUUGCCUCUCUUCUGUAGAUGGCAUUUAAUAAGGAUGAAUAACUCCAUGUCAAAUCUCUUGCACCUUUUUGGUGACCAUCGUCACGCGAAAAUUGUUCAGACAUUGAACCAUUUGGAUGUUGGAACUCAGCAACAGCUUUUAAAAAGUUAUCAGCAUAUGUGUGCAUGUUUUUCCUGAUAACGGACCAGUUGUAUGGAUCUCCAAACUCAGCAAAUUUCAUAAAGAAAUGGAUGUUAUAUUCAGUCAAUUCUGGUAAACCUUUAUUAUCGUAGUAUGCGAUUGCUUUGUAGAUAAUCUCGGCAGCGCUGCUUGUGCAAAUGAACCAAGGGUUACCAAUAGACUUAGAGACACCAUCGUAUACAUCCUCGGGAUAGCGUCCCAUUGCUUGCUUCCAUCCCUGAUUGACGGGAUAAUCUCUGGUCAUGGUUUCUUGCAACUUCAACAAGGUUGGAAGGAUGUGCAUAUCAAACUCAUUUGAGUAAAGGCUUGCAAGCAAAGUGGAGCAAUCAAGUCCUGAGCGAUCGACUCUGCCUUUAUAACCCUUAAUAACACCCAUUCCAGGAUCCCAGAACUCUCCCAGUUUUAGAUCAAUAGGCUCGAUCGUGCGUUGGUAGAGUGCGGCUUGGUCAGGUGCUCCAAUUCUCUUUGCAAAAGCUGUACCAUCUUGCAUGGCACGCUUCUGAACGGCUAGAGUAAAGUAAUGAACGUCCUUAAUUUCUUCCCAAAGAUCAAAGCUUGCCUCUGUCCAGUGAUUUGCAGUAUAAUCCAAGUCGGCUAAUACAGCCUCAAUCCAGACAGUAACUUCAUGGACCUCUUUACCAUUUUCAAAUAAAUAAUUCAUGUAUUUGAUAAAUGCAAUAGCCCGAAGAGCAGGGGAAUCAUUCUGGGGACGUCCCCAAUCUCCGUCAUAGCUUGUCCCAUCAACAUUAAAUUUAGGCUCACCAAGACCUCCGGCGUAAAAGUCUCCACUUGGGUUCGGGACCUUUUGGAGCCUGACCAUUUCAUCCAUAUAUUUGACGAUAAUCGGCUCAAGUCCUUUGUCCCCUUCAAAGAAACGAUCUAAAAUAGUCAUGAUCGUCAAUGCACUAUCACGAACCCAUUGAUAAUAGUAAUCAGGGGAAUCAGUUGAAGGGGAAGCAAUAAUACAUCCAGGAUUAAUAUCCUUAGCAUGCAUACCGCUGUCACCGAUAUUGUUCAGCAUAUGUCCCAUAGCAAUACCCUUUUGCUGAUCCGUCCAUUCAUCCAUAGAAGCUUCCUUGCUUCUUUUAUUAGGGGAAAGUAAGCUUUCUGCAGAUACGACCCCCCCAAGGAGUAAGAAUAACCAGUAUGUACGCAUGUUGGAAUUUAAAAGUAUUGUAAAAUUGGGUAGACUAUACAAAUAUUGAUGGCAAUCGUGUUUAAUUAUAUAGGCAAACGAAUAAAAAUAUGCGCUUUAGUUAAAAUUUAACUGGAAUAUUUGCUCUAUAUAUGUCUUUUGCUUUGUUUAUUAGUAAACAAAAACAGAGGGAAUUACCAUCAAAAUCGAUCAUCAUGCUGCGACACGAAUGGACAAAACUAGACUAUAUAAGUUAGUAAAUAAACAGAGUAAAUGAAUGUGAUUGAUCCUUUUUGGCUUAUACUGAAAAUUUGGCGAAGCAAGGAUUACCAAAGAAAAUGUAU